rnacentral:pre_miRNA from 1 species
UAGUCUUUUCGCUCCAUUCUAGCCAUACUGUUGAGACGGGGAACCGAGCGAAAAGACUA